ACGAGUGCGGACGGGUGAGUAAUGUCUGGGAAACUGCCUGAUGAGGGGAUACUACUGGAAACGGUAGCUAAUACCGCAUAACGUCGGCCAAGGACCCAAAGAGGGGGAACCCUCGGGGCCUCUUGCCAUCGGAUGUGCCCAGAUGGGAUUAGCUUGUUGGUGGGGUAACGGCUCACCAAGGCGACGAUCCCUAGCUGGUCUGAGAGGGAUGACCAGCCACACUGGAACUGAGACACGGUCCAGACUCCUACGGGAGGCAGCAGUGGGGAAUAUUGCACAAUGGGCGCAAGCCUGAUGCAGCCAUGCCGCGUGUAUGAAGAAGGCCUUCGGGUUGUAAAGUACUUUCAGCGGGGAGGAAGGGAGUGAAGUUAAUACCUUUGCUCAUUGACGUUACCCGCAGAAGAAGCACCGGCUAACUCCGUG
rnacentral:rRNA from 1 species